rnacentral:tRNA from 1 species
GGGCGGUUAGCUCAGUUGGUAGAGCAACUCGUUUACACCGAGUAGGUCGGGAGUUCGAGCCUCUCACCGCCCACCA